AGCAGCCGCGGUAAUUCCAGCUCCAAUAGCGUAUAUUAAAGUUGUUGCAGUUAAAAAGCUCGUAGUUGAACUUCAGGCCUGGCUGGACGGUCCGCCUUCCGGGCGAGCACUGUCCGUGGUCGGGUCCUACCUUCUGGCGAAGCGUCAUGGCCUUAACCGGCCGUGGCGGGGAACCAGGACUUUUACUGUGAAAAAAUUAGAGUGUUCAAAGCAGGCAAUUCGCUUGGAUACAUUAGCAUGGAAUAAUGGAAUAGGACAAUGGUUCUAUUUGUUGGUUUCUAGGACUGUUGUAAUGAUUAAUAGGGAUAGUUGGGGGCAUUAGUAUUCAAUUGUCAGAGGUGAAAUUCUUGGAUUUAUUGAAGACUAACUACUGCGAAAGCAUUUGCCAAGGAUGUUUUCAUUAAUCAAGAACGAAAGUUAGGGGAUCGAAGACGAUCAGAUACCGUCGUAGUCUUAACCAUAAACUAUGCCGACUAGGAAUCGGGCGAUGUUGACAAAAUGACGCGCUCGGCACCUC
rnacentral:rRNA from 1 species